CGGCCGUCCUCUCAUCCCUCCCGAGGAGGAGAGGAGCACUGCCGCCGAACCCUAACCCUAGAGUUACCUCUCUCGGAGCCCAUCGCUGCAGAGAAUCGGUUCUCAUUCCGUGGAUUAAAAAAUGAAGAGACAUCAGUUUCAGUCUUUUUAGGAUUCGAUUGUAAACGGAAUCUAUCUUUGCGUGAGAGUUUCAAGAUGCCGGUGGCUUGCUUUUCACGGCAAAGGGGGCUGCAAGCUUCACUAGGACGAAUAAUGAGUCGAGGACGGGCUGCG
rnacentral:misc_RNA from 1 species